GAUGAACGCUGGCGGCGUGCCUAAUACAUGCAAGUCGAGCGAACGGACGAGAAGCUUGCUUCUCUGAUGUUAGCGGCGGACGGGUGAGUAACACGUGGAUAACCUACCUAUAAGACUGGGAUAACUUCGGGAAACCGUAGCUAAUACCGGAUAAUAUUUUGAACCGCAUGGUUCAAAAGUGAAAGACGGUCUUGCUGUCACUUAUAGAUGGAUCCGCGCUGCAUUAGCUAGUUGGUAAGGUAACGGCUUACCAAGGCAACGAUGCAUAGCCGACCUGAGAGGGUGAUCGGCCACACUGGAACUGGGACCCGGUCCAGACUCCUACGGGAGGCAGCAGUAGGGAAUCUUCCGCAAUGGGCGAAAGCCUGACGGAGCAACGCCGCGUGAGUGAUGAAGGUCUUCGGAUCGUAAAACUCUGUUAUUAGGGAAGAACAUAUGUGUAAGUAACUGUGCACAUCUUGACGGUACCUAAUCAGAAAGCCACGGCUAACUACGUG
rnacentral:rRNA from 1 species